rnacentral:rRNA from 1 species
AUUGAACGCUGGCGGCAUGCCUUACACAUGCAAGUCGAACGGUAACGCGGGGCAACCUGGCGACGAGUGGCGAACGGGUGAGUAAUGUAUCGGAACGUGCCCAGUUGUGGGGGAUAACUACUCGAAAGAGUAGCUAAUACCGCAUACGACCUGAGGGUGAAAGCGGGGGAUCGCAAGACCUCGCGCAAUUGGAGCGACCGAUAUCAGAUUAGCUAGUUGGCGGGGUAAAAGCCCACCAAGGCGACGAUCUGUAGCUGGUCUGAGAGGACGACCAGCCACACUGGGACUGAGACACGGCCCAGACUCCUACGGGAGGCAGCAGUGGGGAAUUUUGGACAAUGGACGCAAGUCUGAUCCAGCCAUGCCGCGUGCGGGAAGAA